GAUGAACGCUGGCGGCGUGCUUAACACAUGCAAGUCGAACGAAGCGCUUAAGUGAAUCCCUUCGGGGUGAAGCUUUUGUGGCUGAGUGGCGGACGGGUGAGUAACGCGUGGGUAACCUGCCUUACACAGGGGGAUAACAGUUAGAAAUGACUGCUAAUACCGCAUAACCCGCUAGUACCGCAUGGUACAGACGGAAAAGAUUUAUCGGUGUAAGAUGGACCCGCGUCUGAUUAGCUAGUUGUGGGGUAAAGGCCUACCAAGGCGACGAUCAGUAGCCGACUUGAGAGAGUGACCGGCCACAUUGGGACUGAGACACGGCCCAAACUCCUACGGAGGCAGCAGUGGGAAUAUUGCACAAUGGGGGAAACCCUGAUGCAGCGACGCCGCGUGAGUGAAGAAGUAUUCGGUAUGUAAAGCUCUAUCAGCAGGGAAGAAGAAAGUGACGGUACCUAAGGAGGAAGCC
rnacentral:rRNA from 1 species